rnacentral:piRNA from 1 species
UGCUCUCAUCUUGUGUUUGUAUGUAUUGC